rnacentral:rRNA from 1 species
UAAUAGGAAAUUAAGAGCAUAUGGUGGAUGCCUAGGAUUCAAAAAGCGAUGAAAGACGUGGUGUGGCUGCGAUAAGUUUCGGGGAGGUGCCUAACAACCUUUGAUCCGGAAAUUUCUGAAUGAGGAAACUCUAUCUCGGUUAUUCGAGAUAAUCUAUGCGCUUGACGUGUAGAUGCAUACCCAGGGAAGUGAAACAUCUCAGUACCUGGAGGAAAAGAAACAAAUAUGAAUUCCGUGAGUAGCGGCGAGCGAAACCGGAGAAGCCCAAACCUUACGAAAUAUCUUCGGAUAUUACUGUGAGGGGUUGUAAGACAGUAACUUCGUUUUACGAGAAGAGUCAAAAAAUAUAAUUAUAUGUGAAGGUGCUGGAAAGCACGACCAAAGAAGGUGAUAGUCCUGUAACUUAAAUAAUUAUAUCUCUUUCGUUACUGCUCUUGAGUACUCUAAGACACGAAUAGCUUGGAGGAAUCUGCCAGAACUAACUGGCAAGGCUAAAUAUUUUUGAAUACCGAUAGUGAACUAGUACCGUGAGGGAAAGGUGAAAAGUAGUCCGGAAGGACAGUGAAAUAGACCUGAAACCAUAUGCUUACAAGGAGUCAGAGCGGACGCGAUUUAUCGUGUUCCGUCAUGGCGUGCCUAUUGAAGAAUGAGCCAACGAGUUUAUGCAUGCUGCUCGGCUAAGUUGCUACGCAACGGAGCCCCAGGGAAACCAAGUGUUAAUAGCGCGUAAUUGGUAGUAUGCAUAAGACCCGAAGCCAGGUGAGCUACCCAUGUGCAGGUUGAAGUUUGUCGAAAGACAGAUGGAGGACCGAACCGAUAAGCCGUUCAAUACUUUCGGAUGACGCGUGGGUCGGAGUGAAAAGCUAAUCGAACCUGGUAAUAGCUGGUUCUUGCCGAAAUAGCUUUAGGGCUAGCGUUAAGUGUUCCUCUUGGGGGUAGAGCACUGGAAGAUCUCGACAGGGAGCAAUCUCGCGAAAUCUAUCAAACUCCGAAUACCAAGAGUCAUAACUUAGCAGUUAGACAAUGGGGGCUAAGCUCCAUAUGUCAAAAGGGAAACAGCCCAGAUCUCUAAAUAAGGUCCCUAAAUUCACGUUAAGUGCAAAUCAAGGAUGUGAUAUUUCUCUGACAAUGAGGAUGUUGGCUUAGAAGCAGCCAUCAUUUAAAGAAAGCGUAACAGCUCACUCAUCAAGAGAUUUCGCGCCGAAAAUAAUCGGGGCUAAACGUGAUACCGAAUUUGAGGAUUGUAUUUGUCUUCGGACAAGUGCAGUGGUAGGCAAGUGUUCUCAUCCGCAGUGAAGGAGAAGGGGUGACCCACUCUGGAGUGAUGAGAAGUAAGAAUGUUGGCACAAGUAACCGCAAGGAGGGUGAGAUCCCCUCCCGCCGAAAGACUAAGGUUUCCUUGGCUAUGAUAAUCAGCCAAGGGUUAGUCGGGCCUAAGGGAAUGGUGAAAACCGCACCCGAUGGACAUAAGGUUAAUAUUCCUUAACUUCUCACGUAUGCGAUGGAGGGACGGAGUGUAGUAUAUAUCGCUCAUUAAUGGAUUUGAGUUUGUGCUGUGAGUGUGGCUUCCAGGAAAAUCCGGAAGCAGUCGCAAGACACAUGCAAGCAGAGCAUAAAUCUGUGGGUACGCCCAUGGGGAUGAUAUAAAGCACGCUUCCAAGAAAAGCUUCUAAGCUCUAAUAUGUGAGAACCCGUACCGUAAACCGACACAGGUAGUCAGGUCGAGUAGACCAAGGCGAACGAGUGAGAGGUCCCCAAGGAACUCGGCAAAAAAGCAGCCGUAACUUUGGGAUAAGGCUUGCCGCGCACAUCACAUAGAAUGUGAUGGCAAUAAGCUGAAAGCUUAAAGUCAAAAGCUGAAAGGAAAUACAAAAUGCAUUUCUCUUCUUUUAGCUUUAAACUUUUUAACUUUUAGCUUGCACAUCGUGCUCUGCGUGAUGUGCGUGGCCGCAGCGAAAGUAUUCCUGGCAACUGUUUAUCAAAAACACAGCUCCCUGCGAACUCGUAAGAGGAUGUAUAGGGGGUGACACCUGACCAAUGCCAGAAGGUCAAAUAUCGGUGGUGAUUGUCGCAAGACAUGAGCUGGCUGAUAUAAGCCCUGGUGAAUGUCGGCCGUAACUAUAACGGUCCUAAGGUUCACUACAUUUCAUUGAAGUGUAGUGAAGGACUGGGACCGUCAUAGAAAAAGAUAAACAAUUGAUCAAAAGUGUGAUGAAGUUAUACCAAACAAAAAGCUACCUUGUUGUGCAGUAAUGCAUAGCAAGUCCAAAUAUGGCUAUCGAGAGACCAGCGCCAUACAUCCUAAUUUCUUUAUGAAAUGGAUGAAGAUAGAGUCCUUCUUUUAGGUACAGAAGAGCGAAGUACCUUGUCGGGUAAGUUCCGACGCGCACGAAUGGUGUAAUGACUGGGAAACUGUCUCGGGGACCUGCUCGGUGAAAAUACAAUACCGGUGAAGAUGCCGGUUACCUGCAGUUAGACGAAAAGACCCUAGAAGCUUUACUACAUCUUGAUAUUGAGUAUGUUUAUUAAAUGCGUAGCAUAGGUGGGAGAGGUUAUGUGCAUCAUCUCGGUGAUGUAAUACUCGUCAGUGAAAUACCACUCUUUUAAUGGGCAUAUUCUAAUCUCUACGGCAAAAACGGAGAGAGACAGUUUCUGGAAGGUAGUUUUACUGGGGCGGUACCCUCCUAAAGAGUAACGGAGGGGUUUAUUAAGGUCAGCUAGGCGCGAAUGGAAACCGUGCCGAUAGUGUAAGGGCACAAGCUGGCUUGACUGUGAGGGGUACAUCCCAAGCAGGUGCGAAAGCAGAACCUAGUGAACCGACGAUUCGCAUUAGAUGCGGUCGAAGAUUAACGGAUAGAAGCUACUCUAGGGAUAACAGGCUAGUUCCGCCUAAGAGUUCAUAUCGACGGCGGAGUUCGGCACCUCGAUGUCGGCUCACCUUAUCCUGGUGGUGGAGAAGCUACCAAGGGUAUGGCUGUUCGCCAUUUAAAAAGGUACGCGAGCUGGGUUCAAACCGUUCAGGUCGUAGAUCUUAGAACGUGGAACGUAAAACGUUUGAUUCAAAAUGCAAUUGCAUCUUGAUCGACGCUCUGCGCUCUACGAAUAAGGUUCUACGCAUUGGGCAGUUUGAAUCCGUUGAGGGAAGUAUUUGUAAAAAUACUUAUGUUUACAGAGACAAGACCAUGAAUGUACAGUAAGUACAUUUCACGGCGGCAUACAUUAGAAAUAGUGUAUGAGAAGUUGACUUAUAUCGGUGGAACCCGACAAACGCAGAAGUUCGCGGAUUAAACGCGGAAAAUCGCGGAUGGGGCAAUACCGAGGGAACUAUGUCAUUUUAUAAUGACUGUGACCCGUAGAGACUGAAUGUCAAACAUCUUGAAAGAGAUGAAGUUACAGUCCAAUCCUCGUAGUAAUACGAGAAAAACAUACUCAUAUCUCUUCGUCGAUAUAUGAGUAUGGCCCCACGUCGCUUUUUUCAAAAAGCUAUGUGGGGCAAGUAGGUGCGUGAGACAGGUUGGUCUCCUAUCUACUGCAGGCGUUGAUUCUUGAGAAGACUUGCCCCUAGUACGAGAGGACCGGGGUGAACUGACCUCUGGUGUACCUGCUGUUUUGCCAAAAGCAAUGCAGGGUAGCUAUGUCGGGAAUGGAUAACCUCUGAAAGCAUCUAAGAGGGAAGCCACCUUCAAGAUUAGGAAUCGUUUAAGAAGCGUGAGAGAUGAUCACGUCGAUAGGCGCUAGGUGUACGUACAGUAAUGUACUCAGCCGAGGCGUACUAAUGUUUCGAUUCCUAUUAGG